UGUAUUGUUGUUCAAAAACUGAACAAAAUUGACGGAAAAAAUUGGCGGCAGUGGUGGUAUCUGUCAUUUUACCGGAAAUUUCGCCCGCCACCUUCGCCGAAAGACGCAUUUUUAAGCCGCCAGGGCAAGAUAUUUACUUUGUUUUAGAGUGUUGUCGGUGAUUUUUUGUUAAUAAAUACUCUAAUUAUUAUGGCUCCAAGGACAGCGAAGGGAAAGAAAGCUGCAGAUGUGAAAUUAGCUGAAAAUGAAGUACCCAAAAAGGGCAGAGGGAAGGCAAAAGCAGCUGAAGAGCCUGAGCCAGAUAAUGAUACAGAAGACAGUGAAAUGGUAAUUGUUGAAAAAAAAACAAAGCCGUAAGAAAGUUGCAAAUGAUGUGAAUGAACAAGAGCAAAAUGGUAAAA